CCCCCCAGCCCCCGUCCUGGCCGAGCCCUGGCUCCCAUUGGCUCCGCAAUUUCUGCCCUCUCACGUCUAGCCUCGGGAGGACACAGACGCAAGCGCUAGAGGAGGGCCCCGCGGCGUUGCCAUGGCUACAUGCGCCGCGCUCUGCGCGGGCCGGUGUGAGCUUCUGGGGCGGGCAGCGGGCUCCGGAAGUGUGCAGCUACCCGGGACCAUGGCGGUGCUUGCUGCUGGGGCUGGCGGCUUGCUCGCCUGGGCGACUAGUUCUUGCCUGGUCAGUCGGAGGCCGACAUCCUGUCUGGGGCGGCAUCCCACAGACGGUACCUUCUGUGUGACGUCAACCCUCCAGAGGGCUUCAGCCUCCAUAGGAGCGUCUGUAUCCACAUCGCCUUCCUCCUGAAGACCCUGCUGAAAAUGGAGGAAUCGGUGCUGGUGAUACCCCCUUGGGGCCGCCUCUACCAUUGGCAGAGCCUGGACAUCCACCAAGUCCGGAUUCCCUGGUCUGACUUUUUUGAUCUCUCAAGUCUCAACAGAAACAUCCCUGACACUGAGUACCAACCGUUCAUUGCAGGGGAGAUGGUGAUCGUUUAACUGGGGCCAGACGGUUGUUGUUCUGGUUCUGAUGUGAACAUCAGGCCAUCUUGCUUCGGGCUUGUCGGUCUGCUAAGGGGUCCUGCUCAUGUUUCCCGCACUGCAGGUGAAUUUGGUCUUUCCAUAGUUUUUCUCAGGAAAUAGAUCUGAAGUGUAUGAGAUAUGUGUUCCCUCCGCUCUGAAAAUCCUGGCCUCCUGGUGAGAUGGAGCGGUGACAAGAAGGCCACUGCCACACAGGCCUUGUCUAAGGAGGACUCGCUCCCUGGGCAGUAAGGGCCAUUCUUACCUGAAGGAAAACACGAUGUGUGUGUAGCAUGGGCCACGUGCUGGAGACGGUAUGUAACCUCUCAUUCAGUAUAAUUUGGUCCUGCUCAAGCUUCCCAUUUUACUUUCCGUAAGAGGUAAGAGUUGAAGAUUUUCUUUGAAUAAAGGUAUUUAGAACUUAUCUUUUUCUUUAAUUGAAAUGUGGUUGAUUUACAAUGUUUUGUUAGUUUCAGAUAUACAGCUGUUUUGUUAGUUUCAGGUAUACAGCAUAGUGAUUCAGUUGUACAUAUACAUAGUCUAUUCUUUUUCAGGUUCUUUUCCAUUAAAGGUUGCAAGAUACUGAAUAUUUUCCCCUGUGUUCUGCAGUGAAUCUUUGUUGUUUGUCUAUUUUACAUAUAGUAGUUUGUAAUUGUUAAUCCCAAACUCCUGUUAGUUUUCUAAGUCUGUGAGUGUGUUUUUGUUUUGUAAAUAAGUUCAUUUGUAUCAUUUUUAAAAAUUCCACAUACAAGUGAUAUCAUAUGA